UGAAUUAGAUCUGUGAACCGCCACACGUGCCAGUUUAAAACACCAACGACUAAGAAAACCAACAACACAGGGGCUACAGACAAAUGAAAUCUGUGCAGCGGGUAGAAGGGAGCAGACAGCUCGAGGACGCACUCUGUGCUGGGCGCUCUUCCAGCACAUUCUGAAGAUGAGGACGGAGCUGAGACUCCAUCCCCUCGCUGCUCCUAGCUCCAGAACCCACGCUUGUCACUGCCACGUGGGCCUUCCUGUCCGGUGUAAAAAUUCCCAUCGUGCUAGUUUUAUUCUUGAAAAGGCGAAACUGCAAAACUGACUAUAAACUUGGAGAAUACUGUGGACAGAUGUCCGGCUGGAGGUCCCUCGUGGAGGGCAGGGUGGGGCGUCUGGGGUGAACUGAGGGGCUGUUCAGAGCUCGGGCCCUGGAGCCAGGCUGCCUGGAUUUGCAUCCUGCCUUCCCCACUUACUAGCUGUGUGAGUUUGGGCAGGUUGCUUGAGCUCUCUGAGCCUGGCAUUCCCCAACUGUAAAAUGGGGACGAUGGUGAGAACGUCUGUCUCAAAGGUGACUGUGAAGAUGCCACGAUUCAACCCAGGGACCCAGGACUGUAAUCAAUGCUUGGUGGUUUCAGGUAUAAUCUGUCCCCCAUCCCCAAGAAGAAGUGUCCUUUUCCUGCAGUGGCCGGGCACAAUGUCAGGACUCCCACCUUUAAAGACUCUAGAGCCAUGCCCAUGCUGUCCAACACAGCCGAAAUUAGUCACACGCUUUGGAAGGAAGCAACCUUGACCUUGGACUUCUAGACUGGAGUACCCCGAGACACCGCCUGCUCCCCUCGCCCUCUGCUUUGAUCGGAGCUCCUGAGGCCCUCACCAGCAGCAGCUGCCGGCGCCAUGUUUCUUGCACAGCCUGCAAAACUGGUUUUUUGUGAGGAUGCAGCGAAGUAAUUCAUGUGUGAUGCCUGAUACAAAAUAAGAGCUCAAUGUCUGUCAGCUGCCAGGCAAGUGAACUUUGCUGUGCCUCAGUUUCCCCAUAUGUAAAACGGGCGGGUGUUAUGGACUGAAUGUUUGUGUCCCCUCAACAUGCACGUGUUGAAGCCCUAACCCCCAGUGUGCAGUGUGGCUGUAUUUGGAGAUGGGGACUCUGACAAAGUAAUUAAGGUUAGAGGAGGUCAUAAGGGUGGGGCCCUGAUCCAGCAGGAUUAGCGUCCUUAGAGGAAGAGACGCCAGAGGGCUGUAUCUCUCUCCCUCUUCCCCCUCUUCCCCCGCUCCCCUGCGUGCACGCACCGAGGAGAGUCCAGAUGAAGACAUGGCAAGAAGGUGGCCAUCUACAGGCCAAGAAGAGGGUCCUUACCAGAAACCGACUUUGCUAGCACCUUAAUCAUGGACGUCCAGCCCUCAGAACUAUCACACGACUACCUUGUGAACUAGCGAUGCCCCCGCUGUGCAGAAGAAGAUGUGGACGCUCGGCCACGUUAAGUUCCUUCUUGAAAGUCUUAGAGCUAAGAAGCACUGGGUCAGUAUUUGAAUUUGGGUCCCUCUGACCCCAAAUAUUAACAGCACCCGCCUCUUUCCGCGGUGCGAGGCAUCGCAGUGGAUGGGCACCGGCCAGGGCAGGGGUUCCCAGGCUUGCGGUCCACCGUGUCGCAGCUUCGUGGAUUUGGCUGUGCAGGAGACCCGCCUCUCCUUUGCUUCUCGUUAAUCUUUAUAUGGACUUUCCCUUACCAACAUUCAAAUCCUUAGCUUCAUCUUGAGCAUUAUUACCUACGGAACCACUGAUUUGACGUGCCAGUCGUUCCCUCCCCCAGUGAAAUACGAUACACAAAAUGGCAUCACGCUGGCUCAGAGCUCUGAAACAGUCAGAAAGCCGUUCUGAUAAGGGCCACCUGCAGCGCCUACUACCUUGCCGAAAAAAAUCCUCGAAAACUUGUCUUCUAUCUUUGAACUGGGCUAACCCGCCAUGACCACCCAUCCCAAAUCCAGCCAAAUUUCGCCAGGGCUACAAUUCCUCAACAGCAACAACCAACGAACUAUGAGCCAUAUACUCAGCCAGCCACCCCCACCAAGGACAGCUCUUUCAGAGCAGCUUGUGUAAUCACCCUCAGCUUCCUUUCAAAAACCUCUCCCUCCCUUCAGAACACAGUUUGCCUUCUAGCCAAAUCUGUCUCCAGAGUUACGAUUCCUAAGACCCCGGCACAUGCCUGUCUUCCUGCUUUGCAGUCUGGUCUUCUGCCUCUUGUUGGUUGACACCCCCCAAAACACUGGGGGCUCAGUGUGAUGUUUCUCAGUGGACGCCUUUGGCAUUUGGGGUGGGACAGUUCCACCGUGUACAAGACUGUCCAGCUUAUUGGGUGGCUUGGCAUCCGUGGCCCUGCCUGCUAACAGCAAAUAAUUCUUCCCCUUCAUGUGACAACCAACCACCACCACCCCUAAUUUCUAAAUGUGCCCCCUAGCCCCCACCCUAGGGGGUAGUGUCGCCCUCAGUUGAGAAUCUCUGGUCUAGUGAAAUGCGCCGACCAUAGGGAAGAUGCAAACAUCUAGAACACCUGCUGUUGGACAAGGAAUGGCCAUGCAGACGGCCCUGUUAAGAGCAGGGCUGCGGAUUCACAGCAGAGUGGUGGGAGGCGUGUGCAGAGUGAAGGGACAACCCCGGGCAAGAUACCUAGACACAAUGGACUAAGAUACCUAGCAAAUAGAGAGAAUGGUCAGAGUCCAGGCACCAGGCCAAGGCUGGAGAAACAGAGACCAGGAUUUGAGGAGGAGAAAAUGCACUAAACAGAAAUUAAGGUCUGUAAAAUAGAUGAGAAUUAAGUGCUGUGGCCAAUUGCUAGUUUCCUGCCAGUGUCUGUUCUCUCAGCUCCCAACAGUCAUAGAAUUUUGAGUGAGCCACAUGGCUCUCCAGAAUGAAGACUACAAUUCCCAGCCUCCCCUGCCAGGGGUGUGGCCAUGGGAUUCUUUUCUGGCCAAUGGGAUGUAAGUGUGAAUAUCACAUGUAUUACAUGAGUAUUCUGGCAGCUUCUGGGGACAUUCUGUGAGAGCUGACCGGGGUGCUUGUCUGAAAGGGAAAAGGCAAUUCCUCUUUGUCCCUUCGUCCAUCCUGAUCCCUGGAACUUAAAUGUCACCACUGUGGAUCUUGAGGGCAAGACCGAUGAAGAUUGGUGGAGUUGGAAGGUGGCAGGAACCCGGGAAUCUUGAGUUCUUCAUCUAGACGAGCUCCCUUGAUUGCUCCCCUCUGGAGUUUUACACACCAGAGAAAUACAUCCCAUUCUGUGUGGCCCACUGUUAAUCUGCUUUAUUUCUAAUAAAGUCAAAGUUAGGAAUGUAAACAAAAUCAGUUUCCUCAAUGAAGGUUAGAAAUUCCAGCAGGCAGCUAUUACCAUGGACAGGGUGAGAUCACCAACAGUCAAGACUCGAGGAUGACUUACUGAGCACCUACUGUGUGCCGAAGACAUAGCAGAGAACACAGCAGACGUGUUCUCUGCCCUCAUGGAAUACACAGCCAGCAGGAAGACAGACUUCACGUAGAUUAUUUCAAAUAAUUAACGAAAUGGUUACAAGUGUGCAAAAUGCACCACAUAGGUAUGAGGUGUCCUCAGAGCAUACAAUGGAGGAAUCUGACCUUUUGGGGGGACCAGGAAGUGGAAAUUGGCUAGGGAAGUGUGUUCCAGGCAGAGGGCGGAACAGGGUAGGAUCCCAAGGUGAAAGGGAGCCUGAUGUGUUCAAAGCAUCACUCUCAGUGGACUUGGAGUGGAGUGAAUGAGGGAAAGAGUGGUAGGAAGAGUCUGGAGAAGUAAGUGGGGCCAACCCCCGAAAGUUUUGUUUUUAUUUAUUUUUUGAUUGGCCAUGUCUUUUUUUAAGAGCUCGGAGAAACCACUGAAGAGCUUUAAGCAGGGAAUGGUAUGUUCAGAUUUUCCCUUUAUCAUCCUGGCUACUGUGAUUAGAACUGAGCAGGGGUAUUAGGCUGAGACUGCAAGCUGACCCCUAAUAUCCACCCCCCCACCCUUUUCUAUAGUAUCGGAGUUUCUACCAGCACCUGACUGCCCAGAAAACGACUAUGCCUCCCAGGCUCCCAUGCAGGAAGGUGCGGCCAAGUGACCAAGUUCUGACCAAUGGAGUGUGAGCAGACGUGGUCAGUGCAACCGCUGGGUGGUGCCCCUCUCUGCCUCUGUCCCCCUCUUCCAUCUGCUGCUACCCACGACGGAUCUGUUCUGAGAUGUGGAUCUGGACUUGUCCCCUACGACUCCCACUUCUCGAGGUGUGUCUAAGGCUUGAUGGAGAAGACCUUUCGCUGUCCUGGGUCUGCAGGGGCGUAGGACGGACUACCGUCAAUCUCGCAGUCUGGUUACAAAGGGCAGGCGUGUCCUGCUGCCGUAUGGAGCGCUUACUACAUGCCAAGCGCUCUCUCUGCAUGCUCCAGAGCGGGUAAUUCUCUCCCAGCCGCGGUGCCAGUUAAGGGCUUCAUAACUGGGUCUCUGAUAUUCACAGCAACCUACAAGGUAGACUUUAACCUCCUUUUUACAGAAGAGGAAACAGAGCCCCAGUAAGUUCACCUAACUUUGUCUGAGAUCAUCGGGAAGUAGGCAGGAAAACCGGUUUAACUCCAAAUCUGCCCGACUGCAUAGCCUGUGUCUCAGCAACUGCCUUAUUCUUUGGUGUUUUCUCUGCUUUGCACAUCAAGAUUCUUCUGCCAACCCCGA